UAGCGUCGACGCAUCUUUCGAUUGUAGAAACAGAUACCUUGCCUUGGUGGCUCUUGUCAAAGCAGCUAAAGACUCGUUGAUACUCAUCACGUUUGUUAACGUUCUCACUCUUCAUAGAAGAUCGAUGAAGAAGACUUGAGCGAGAGAUAGGAGAAAAUGAUUAUAGUUUGAAGACUAUUACUUGUUCAGUUUGGCAAAAUAUAUA